GUAAACAUAGUUUAAUAAAAACACUAGAUUGUGAUUCUAGAGACAGAAGUUAAACUCUUCUUGUUCACC
rnacentral:tRNA from 1 species